rnacentral:rRNA from 1 species
UAGGGAAUCUUCCGCAAUGGACGCAAGUCUGACGGAGCAACGCCGCGUGAGUGAAGAAGGAUUUCGGUUCGUAAAACUCUGUUGUUAGAGAAGAACAGCGCAUAGAGUAACUGUUAUGCGUGUGACGGUAUCUAACCAGAAAGCCACGGCUAACUACGUGCCAGCAACCGCGGUAAUACGUAGGUGGCAAGCGUUGUCCGGAUUUAUUGGGCGUAAAGCGAGCGCAGGCGGUCAAUUAAGUCUGAUGUGAAAGCCCCCGGCUCAACCGGGGAGGGUCAUUGGAAACUGGUUGACUUGAGUGCAGAAGAGGAGAGUGGAAUUCCAUGUGUAGCGGUGAAAUGCGUAGAUAUAUGGAGGAACACCAGUGGCGAAGGCGACUCUCUGGUCUGUAACUGACGCUGAGGCUCGAAAGCGUGGGUAGCAAACAGG